AUUGAACGCUGGCGGCAGGCCUAACACAUGCAAGUCGAACGAGUGGCGGACGGGUGAGUAAUGUCUGGGCAACUGCCCGAUGGAGGGGGAUAACGACGGGAAACGGUAGCUAAUACCGCAUACCAUCGGAUGUGCCCAGAUGGGAGUAGCUAGUAGGUGGGGUAACGGCUCACCUAGGGGACGAUCCCUAGCUGGUCUGAGAGGAUUACCGGCCACACUGGAACUGAGACACGGUCCAGACUCCUACGGGAGGCAGCAGUGGGGAAUAUUGCACAAUGGGCGAAAGCCUGAUGCAGCCACGCCGCGUGUAUGAAGAAGGCCUUCGGUUUGUAAAGUACUUUCAGCGAGGAGGCGUUACUCGCAGAGGAAGCCCCGGCUAACUCCGUGCCAGCAGCCGCGGUAAUUC
rnacentral:rRNA from 1 species